UCGGCGUGCUUAACACAUGCAAGUCGAACGGAAAGGCCCUGCUUUUGUGGGGUGCUCGAGUGGCGAACGGGUGAGUAACACGUGAGUAACCUGCCCUUGACUUUGGGAUAACUUCAGGAAACUGGGGCUAAUACCGGAUAGGAGCUCCUGCUGCAUGGUGGGGGUUGGAAAGUUUCGGCGGUUGGGGAUGGACUCGCGGCUUAUCAGCUUGUUGGUGGGGUAGUGGCUUACCAAGGCUUUGACGGGUAGCCGGCCUGAGAGGGUGACCGGCCACAUUGGGACUGAGAUACGGCCCAGACUCCUACGGGAGGCAGCAGUGGGGAAUAUUGCACAAUGGGCGGAAGCCUGAUGCAGCAACGCCGCGUGCGGGAUGACGGCCUUCGGGUUGUAAACCGCUUUCGCCUGUGACGAAGCGUGAGUGACGGUAAUGGGUAAAGAAGCACCGGCUAACUACGUGCCAGCAGCCGCGGUGAUACGUAGGGUGCGAGCGUUGUUCGGAUUUAUUGGGCGUAAAGGGCUCGUAGGUGGUUGAUCGCGUCGGAAGUGUAAUCUUGGGGCUUAACCCUGAGCGUGCUUUCGAUACGGGUUGACUUGAGGAAGGUAGGGGAGAAUGGAAUUCCUGGUGGAGCGGUGGAAUGCGCAGAUAUCAGGAGGAACACCAGUGGCGAAGGCGGUUCUCUGGGCCUUUCCUGACGCUGAGGGGCGAAAGCGUGGGGAGCGAACAGGCUUAGAUACCCUGGUAGUCCACGCUGUAAACGGUGGGUACUAGGUGUGGGGUCCAUUCCACGGGUUCCGUGCCGUAGCUAACGCUUUAAGUACCCCGCCUGGGGAGUACGGCCGCAAGGCUAAAACUCAAAGGAAUUGACGGGGCCCCGCACAAGCGGCGGAGCAUGCGGAUUAAUUCGAUGCAACGCGUAGAACCUUACCUGGGUUUGACAUGGAUCGGGAGUGCUCAGAGAUGGGUGUGCCUCUUUUGGGGUCGGUUCACAGGUGGUGCAUGGCUGUCGUCAGCUCGUGUCGUGAGAUGUUAGGUUAAGUCCCGCAACGAGCGCAACCCUUGUUCACUGUUGCCAGCACGUUAUGGUGGGGACUCAGUGGAGACCGCCGGGGUCAACUCGGAGGAAGGUGGGGAUGACGUCAAGUCAUCAUGCCCCUUAUGUCCAGGGCUUCACGCAUGCUACAAUGGCUGGUACAGAGAGUGGCGAGCCUGUGAGGGUGAGCGAAUCUCGGAAAGCCGGUCUCAGUUCGGAUUGGGGUCUGCAACUCGACCUCAUGAAGUCGGAGUCGCUAGUAAUCGCAGAUCAGCAACGCUGCGGUGAAUACGUUCCCGGGGCUUGUACACACCGCCCGUCAAGUCAUGAAAGUUGGUAACACCCGAAGCCGGUGGCCUAACCGUUGUGGGGGAGCCGUCGAAGGUGGGACUGGUGAU
rnacentral:rRNA from 1 species